AUCCCUUUAUUCCAGAACACAUAACUUAAAGUCACACUUUCCUGAGAUCAGAGCAGAGGAUGGCAGAGAACCAAAGUCACGAGUGUGUGAAACAACGGAGAGGAGCGGCACUGUGCGGCCUGGAGCUCAAGACACUUGCAUGAGCGGUGACGUGAUUGAAUGGAAGCAACGAAGUGGAGGAGAAACCAGGCUGGGGAGAGCUGGCAUCCCCUUGGGAGAAGCCUUUCCAACAAUGGACUGAAAGCGUCCCCUCAGUGAUUCCUGUGUGCACCCAGGGUUGAGAACUACUGCAUAAGAGGUCCUAGAAGAUAUCUGGUAUGGCCAGAGUACAGAGGGACCGGAGGUAAGCCAGGAGAGACAUGCAGAGCAAAGAGUUGAGGUCUCCAUCUUCUGUGGGCAGCAUCUGGCCUGUUCUGCUUCCUCUGAUUCUCACCAAAGUGUUGGCCCAAAUGAUUUUUAAAUUUGAAUUCAUUGCCAUUAUUAAAAAUAUAUAGAUGUCACACA
rnacentral:lncRNA from 1 species